GAUGAACGCUGGCGGCGUGCCUAAUACAUGCAAGUCGAGCGAACAGGCGAGGAGCUUGCUCCUCUGACGUUAGCGGCGGGCGGGUGAGUAACACGUGGAUAACCUACCUAUCAGACUGGGAUAACUUCGGGAAACCGGAGCUAAUACCGGAUAAUAUAUUGAACCGCAUGGUUCAAUAGUGAAAGACGGUUUUGCUGUCACUUAUAGAUGGAUCCGCGCCGCAUUAGCUAGUUGGUAAGGUAACGGCUUACCAAGGCAACGAUGCGUAGCCGACCUGAGAGGGUGAUCGGCCACACUGGAACUGAGACACGGUCCAGACUCCUACGGGAGGCAGCAGUAGGGAAUCUUCCGCAAUGGGCGAAAGCCUGACGGAGCAACGCCGCGUGAGUGAUGAAGGUCUUCGGAUCGUAAAACUCUGUUAUUAGGGAAGAACAAAUGUGUAAGUAACUAUGCACGUCUUGACGGUACCUAAUCAGAAAGCCACGGCUAACUACGUG
rnacentral:rRNA from 1 species